UUUCUUCUGUGGUCACAUUGCCUUGUCUUCUUUGUGUGUCCCUCUCAUGUGGCUCUCUUUAAGGAUACUUAUUCUUAUAGGAGUCAAGUGGGCCAUAUCCAGUAUGAUCUCUUCUCAUGAUCCUUAGCUUCGUAUUUGCAAAGAUGCUUCAUACACAGAAACUCAUAUUAUAAGUUCUGGGGUAUAUGAUGUGGACAUAUCUUUUAAGAAGGUCAAUAAUCAACCUACUACAUCAGUAACCCUGCCAAUUGUCCCUCCGGAGUUAGACUAAAAAGUCACAACAAGUGCUCUCACCUGAAGCUAGGGAGGAAGGUCACUCCCCUUUAUGACAUCGCUAGUUCUCCACUUGGCCCCAAGAUCGCCUGCCUUCAGAAGGAAAUCUGGCUUUUCAUUCAUUAUCUAUUGGCAGAGAGGGAAGACAAGCGCUGCUCAACCUGUGAGAUAUGGCACCCUUGCAUCUAAUGCUGGGUCUCAAAUCAGUGCUGAGUCCCUGGCCUCCUGUUCAUGGGCAGAUAAAAUGAGAUUUCAGACCCUGCCUUGCCUGGUGAGAUUACAAGUGAACUGUGAAGACUUGCUACGUGGGAAGCCUCUCUGUGGAAAUGUUCCCAAUGACUUUUGAGCCCCUGGGAUAGAGUACUGCUCUUUUUUGGAAAGGAGCAAUGUGUCAAGGCUGAGGACGCUAGGAAGCUCGUAUGCUGCUGAAUUUGCCACUGUGGCAGAGAGGGCAGGUCUCACGGCGAUGACAUUUCAGCAGACGCUUGGAGGUAAUGGAAUCACUCCAAUAUCUUGAGGGCAGGAGGUAAGGAAGCAGCCCAGGCAAGGAUUCAGAAGUGCGGGGAGGGCCGGAGGUGAGCCUGGUAACCGGGAGAGCAAGGGGCCAGUGUAGAUGCAGUGGUUGUGUGGGGUGGGGUGCACUGGGUGCCUGGGCUUUGCAGGCCAAGGAAAGGGCUUUGCUUGCAGCGUGAGUGAAAAGGUUGUCACCUGGAGCAGAGGAAUGUCAGCAUCAGAUUUACAUCUUAAAACUGGAGAAUGGCUGUGGAAGGAACCCAGGCUCGGCCGGCGGGUACAGGUGGAAAAAUACCCAUUUAUCUGCGCUGUCACCCUUCCAGUCCUCUUGGCACGAAGACUAGGCAGGUGAUUUCUAUUUCCAUAUUAUGCACGGGCAAACUGUUUUGUGGUGAGGCUGCUGGCAUUCUUGGAAGGCCCAGAGUAGGAAAGUGGUGGGCAGAGUGUUGCGUUCCUACAGCCCCAGGACUUGGUCUCAGAGGCAUUGCCAGACAGUAGGGGCUAUUAGCGAACAGUGCCCAUGUGGGUUUCUCAUGCCCUCGAGGACUGUUUUGGUACAAAGGAAAGACCAUCUGGGACUAGGUACUACUUUGGGAUUUUUUAAAUUGA